rnacentral:lncRNA from 1 species
AAAAUUAUGAUGGUGCUUGGAUUUGUGGUUUUGCUGGAAAUAUCGGUUUCUUCAAUAUCCUUCACACAAAUUUGUUGCCAAUGUAUCAUGGUUUACGGUUAGCGUGGGAGUUAUGAAUCUCAAACCUGGUGUGCUUUUCAGACUCGAAGCCAACGAUCAAGCUAAUCUAAGAGACAAUUAAUUAAUGAUUGACACCAUCAUACUCCGAUUGUUUGAAAUAUUCAAGAGCUCGUCUCAAGGAAUUUGCAAGUUCAUCUAUGUCUAUUGAGCAACCCCCUGGUGUGCUUGUUCUGCUAGCAGAUGCUAGUGGGACUUUUUCUUUUUAGAUAGCCUUUUCCUUUGUUUUUUCUAGUUGUACCAAAAAAAAAUUACAAUAACUCCGCAUGAAACUGUUGUGGGUCGACCGUAAUUUUUGCAAAAGCUAGUAUUUCACAAAAGAUUACUAACACCGACAUGAAACAAGAAAAUACAAAGCCCGUGUUUAGAAAUAUGUUUGAAUGAGAAGCUACAACUUAAUUAGAAGAGUACUACGCUAGGAAACCUACAACUUAAUUUGAAAUAUUCAUUUGUUUUUACUUCUAAAUUAUUAUGAUGGAAGGGGCACUGUAUUGUUCCCAAAGCAUGUCGAUG